rnacentral:rRNA from 1 species
GGGCCCGCACAAGCGGUGGAGCAUGUGGUUUAAUUCGAUGAUACGCGAGGAACCUUACCAGGGCUUAAAUGUAAGUUGCAUAGAUCAGAGAUGGUCUUUUCUUCGGACUACUUACAAGGUGCUGCAUGGUUGUCGUCAGCUCGUGCCGUGAGGUGUCAGGUUAAGUCCUAUAACGAGCGCAACCCCUGUCGUUAGUUGCCAUCGAGUAAUGUCGGGAACUCUAACAAGACUGCCGGUGCAAACCGUGAGGAAGGUGGGGAUGACGUCAAAUCAUCACGGCCCUUACGUCCUGGGCUACACACGUGCUACAAUGGCCGGUACAGAGAGCAGCCACUACGCGAGUAGGAGCGAAUCUUCAAAGCCGGUCUCAGUUCGGAUCGCAGUCUGCAACUCGACUGCGUGAAGCUGGAAUCGCUAGUAAUCG